UUCCGGUGGUGAGGGCAAGCCAAGAGAUACUCUUGGAAAUGCUCCCACGCUUCACAGAUUGACUCAUCUGACACCUGCUAGAAGUUGGCUAUCCUUCCACGAA
rnacentral:snoRNA from 1 species